GCGGCAGUAGCUCAGUGGUAGAGCCCCGCUUCGCGUGCGGGGAGAUCCGGGUUCGAUUCCCGGCUGCUUCC
rnacentral:tRNA from 1 species